CUAAAACAGCACGAUAAGGUGUAGUAGGAGUAAAAUAUAUACGAUUGAUGAUUUUGAGAUUAAAGUCAAAAUAAUAUUUUGAGAGGAAGAAACUCGAAUUACACCUGUUUCCAGAAAAACUGCCACGGCUGCUCUGCAAAAUACUUCGUGUGGACGAGACGGCGAAAGCGUCCUUUGGAAUCAGUUUACUGUGAUUCUCCUUCAUCACGUAAUCACGAUGCGUGAUAGUGGUUUGUCUUGAAAGUGCGACUGUAAUUGUAACCCCGAAAAUACUAUUUCGAGUUCAUUAACAAGACGACAUUGAUUUGUGUGUGUGUGUGUGUGUGUGUGUAAUUUUGUAAUUGGCCGUCAUACUGCUCUAAUGUGAAAUCCGGCUGUAAAAGGAGAUGAUGGGCUACUUACCGCUGCUGGCGGCGAUCCCAGCUUCUCUUGUUGACCUUCAGCCUAACGAUAAAUGGAUCCCCCCCUCUCUUUCUCUCCGUCUUCAUCUUGGCUGUAGCAGAAAUAAUCCCCCUGAUCUUCCUUCUUCGCCUGCCGCAGAUUUAAGGAAAAGUCUCCAAGAACCGGUCAGGUGAUACACAGUGUCGGCCGUCAGCAGUCCCGUUACCGUCGUCGGUGCAGGAUUUCCGCGCGAACACCAUGUUGGUGAACAUCGCGGUGUGUGCACAUCCGUUAAAAGUUACUUACUUGUUGAAAGUUACUUUAUGUUGGGUGUUUUUCCUGUACCCUGCCGCAUCCUUUAUAACAUAUUCAGCUGUUUAAUGUCAUCAGUCUCCACUUUUGUUUUCUUUUUCUUUUCAAGGGUUUUACUGGCUGGAGCAAUUUUCUGUUAGGAAACCAACACUAAACUGGGAUAAAUGAGUUUCGCUCUGAAUCCUGACCUCUUCCUUGUGUUUCUGUGACUCAUGGGGCCAUAAAUUGGUCACCAUGGCAACCAGCUGGAGGAUUGAAAAUCCCCCGUCUGACUUUCUGAGUGUUCACCAUCACUCUGCUCUGCAGCUGGUCUCCUUUUCCACAGUGCAGUGACACAGUGUUGAAGAGGUGAGUGUGUUAGAGGAAAUGUUAAUGUCAGGUUUAGUCUGUAUGCACUCAGAGGUCAUUUGUACCUGCUGCUGCUGCUGCUGCUGCUGCUGCUGCUGUGGUUGUAAUGAUGUAAACCCUGAUUGGUUGGAUAGUUUGAGUGACAGCUUUACUGAGGCAAAGCAGAACAGCUGCUGAUCCUGAGCUACUCUUACAAAUGGAAGAUCAGUGAAGAUCAUAUCCUCUAUUGGCCCUGACUGAACAGCCAGAGCCUGAUGUUCUCUACAGUCAUGGCCAGAAGAAGCUCCAGUCUCAAAAAUGAAUCACAAAGCUCAAGUUUAUCUAUAUUUACAUUGUAAUAAAAAGUAUGUAAAGUGGUGAUCUGUGUUGGGGUCCUUAAUGCUGACUGAAAAUAAUUUGUGACUUCUUAAUGAAAAGUGCCUUAAAAACUCUUUAAAAAAAAAAAACUGAAAAUAUGACAGGGAGGGUUUUAUGGAAAUAAAGUAGAUGUAUUAUUUAGCUGUAUCUGAAAAUCCUUAUCAGGUGAUUAAUUGUAUUCACCCUGUUUUGGUGAACUUUGUGUAGAUUUUCACACUUUUUAUUUUAAAGCCAAUAAAUGUCUCGCCUUUUAAUUUGACUUUGUCUCUGUGUCCUGCAUUUUGUUGCGCUGUCAAGAAAGUGUUGAUCAUUUUACAACAUGAGCAUUAUUUUGUCUUUCCUGAAGGAAUAUUCAGGAAAUGAGGAUUAAAACGAGCGUGUCUGUUCAUUUCCUUUUGAUUCAUGAACAGCCUGGAUCAGGUCCAGACACAGUUUCCCAGUGUGUAACAGCCUCAGUGUUUCCUGAACUGUUUGCCUCCAAUAACCUUUGUCUCUGCUGGGCUACACUGGGAAACUCUCCACACUGACAUUCAAAGGGAAAAAGAAUCUUUUGUAGCUGUUGUUGAAUCAUUCUUGUGUGUGUCGCAUAAUUUCUACAGUUUAGACAAUUUAAUCAGUUUGUCAGCAAAUAAAACCUCUUACAUCCAUCAGAGAUGCUGG
ensembl:lncRNA